GGGAGUAUAGCUCAGUGGUAGAGUGUGUGCUUAGCAUGCAUGAGGUCCUAAGUUCAAUCCCCAGUACGUCCA
rnacentral:tRNA from 1 species